GUUUUAAAUAUCAACUAUUCAUUCUAAUGUCUGUUCAGGCCCUAAUCUCUCAAGUACCUUCUUUUGAUAAUGAGACGCUAAAACAAAAAAACACAUGAGCAGCUCUAGCUAAAUGAAGCCUCAAUUCCAUCCAUCAACCCCCUUUAUGGGUUCAGAGUCAUUUGAAGGGGCCAUCAGUAGAGGUUGCUGAGAUCGUGUAUGUAAAAUGACUCUCUUCUCUGCCUUGACUCCAAAACCAUGAGGACAAGUGAAGCUACAGAAGCCAGGACUGCAGAACAGAGUUGGAUUUUUCUUUGCAUGUGUUUCUUCCUCAGAUCUCCAUGGAGGGGUCAAGCCUUUGAGGACACAAUGCCCAGACUCAGCAUGAGAGUGCUUGUCAGUGAACCAUGCCCACUGGUAGCCCAAUCUGUAUUUAAAUUGCAUGCAAAUUUUAUGAGUUUUGUAUAAGCAAUUGUCAUUACAUAGUCCCUUGUCUUUUAUAUAGAUCCCUAUUGGGUGCUGGAAAAGAUAGCAGAGGAAAAGCCAGCAUUAAGAAGCACAGCCAGCACACGGUCAAGCCAUCAUUCAUGACCACUGCUGGGUCUACCUAUUUCACAAACAGGAUUUCUGCUGACACCGGAAAAAUCCAUAGCAUGCUCACGGAUCUUCCUGUAGUCUCUCAAUCAUUUCUCAGAAUUAAUGGGGAAAAACCUUUUGAAUGUUUGCUAUAUAUAGGAACCAUGUGGAAAAAUUGGAAAUCAUCUAGAGAUAUUUAAAAGGAGACUCAGAUUUACAUACAAUGAUAUGUUUGAAGUUUGCUUUGAAAUACUAUAUUCUCCCUUACCCUCUUCCCCCACCAGAAAACCUGUGGA
rnacentral:lncRNA from 1 species